AUUUUCCCUUCUGAGCUGCUUGC
rnacentral:piRNA from 1 species